AGCGUAGACGGAAUGGCAAGUCUGAUGUGAAAGGCCGGGGCUCAACCCCGGGACUGCAUUGGAAACUGUCAAUCUAGAGUACCGGAGGGGUAAGUGGAAUUCCUAGUGUAGCGGUGAAAUGCGUAGAUAUUAGGAGGAACACCAGUGGCGAAGGCGGCCUGCUGGACUGUUACUGACACUGAGGCACGAAAGCGUGGGGAGCAAACA
rnacentral:rRNA from 1 species